rnacentral:rRNA from 1 species
GAACUUUUCUGCUUUGGAGAAGCCGUUGAGGCAGCGGCCGAUUAUGCUGACUUGUUUGGUUGCGCACAUGGCCAUUUUCCAAUUAAAUAUCUGGGAAUACCGAUUCAUUAUCGAUGUCUCACCAUUGUGGAGUGGAAGCAUGUAGAGGAGCGGUUAGAGAAACGGUUGAGCAGCUGGAAAGGCAAGCUGCUCUCUGUUGGAGGACGGCUGGUUUUGAUUAACUCUGUCCUCACAAAUAUGGUCCUCUAUAUGCUUUCUUUCUUCCAACUCCCAAAAGGGGUCCUGCAAAGACUGGACUAUUUCAGAUUCAGAUUCUUUGGGCAAGGAGAUGGGGAAAAGAAAAAAUACAGACUAGCCAAGUGGAGUGUGGUUUGUAGGCCGAAAGACCAAGGUGGCCUUGGAAUUCAUGACCUGCAGGUCAAGAAUGAGGCUCUCCUUAGUAAAUGGUUGUUCAAACUUCUUACUGAGGAUGGUGUUUGGCAAACCAUAGUGCGCAACAAGUAUCUAGGCCACAAGGCGGUGUCUCAGGCAUAUUGGAAACCUGGCGACUCGCACUUUUGGGCUGACCUAAUGGCGGCAAAGAAACAUCUCUUUCGCUUUGGGUCUUUCGCGAUAAAGGAUGGGUCGGAGAUUCGUUUUUGGGAAGAUAUCUGGCUAGGCGGUGUCACUCUCCGAGAACAAUAUCCAGCCUUGUACAACAUUGCUCGCGAUAAG